rnacentral:rRNA from 1 species
UGGGGAAUAUUGCAAAAUGGGGGGAAACCCUGAUGCAGCGACGCCGCGUGAAGGAAGAAGUAUCUCGGUAUGUAAACUUCUAUCAGCAGGGAAGAUAGUGACGGUACCUGACUAAGAAGCCCCGGCUAACUACGUGCC